rnacentral:rRNA from 1 species
UACGUAGGGUGCGAGCGUUGUCCGGAAUUAUUGGGCGUAAAGAGCUCGUAGGCGGUGUGUCACGUCGGCCGUGAAAACCUGGGGCUUAACUCUGGGCGUGCGGUCGAUACGGGCAGACUGGAGUACUGCAGGGGAGACUGGAAUUCCUGGUGUAGCGGUGGAAUGCGCAGAUAUCAGGAGGAACACCGGUGGCGAAGGCGGGUCUCUGGGCAGUAACUGACGCUGAGGAGCGAAAGCGUGGGGAGCGAACAGG